rnacentral:lncRNA from 1 species
UAGGUCAAACAAAUUAUAAAAAGAUAAACAACACAGAGGGGGGAAAAGAUUUCAUUCGAAUUUUAUCUCCUCUAUAUAUUAAAUCGGUGGUAGUAAUUGAUAGAUUUCAUUAAAUGGAUCAGUAAUUAGAGAGCCACUGUUACUUGUAUUUAUAUGAUAUGGAUACAUACAUUGGGAUAAGUAUAUCACCUACAAAGAUAAGUAUUAAGAGUCCAUCACAUAUAUGGGAUAACUACAAAUAUGAGAUAAACUCUUAGAGUCCUAAUACGCCCCCUCAAUCUGGACUGGCAGACAUGACAGACAAAUUGUCACGUAAGAAGCUGAACUGAGAUGAUGGUAAACCCUUUGUGAAAAUAUCUGCAAACUGUAACCGAGUUGACACAUAUCGAACAACAAGAUCCCCUUGAGCAACUUUUUCACGAAUAUAAUGAAUAUUAACAUCAAUGUGUUUGGAGCGGUCAUGAAACACAGGGUUAUGAGACAUAUAUGUAGAGCUCACAUUAUCACAAAGAACAUGAACUGGGUUACGAAGAUAGAGCCCGAUAACAUGAAGAAUAUUACGAAUCCAAGAUGUUUCAGCCACAGUAUAGGCGAUAGCUCUAUACUCAGCCUCUGUAGAAGAUUUAGAGACUAUUGGUUGCUUCUUUGCACGCCAUGAGAUAAGAUUAGAGCCUAAAAAUACCGCAAACCCUGUGGUAGAGCGUCGACUAUCAAGACAACUAGCCCAAUCAGCAUCCGAAUAGGCUAAUAUAAAAGAGAUGGAUGAGGAGGCACGGAAGAACAAUCCAUAUGUGAUGGUAUCCUAUAAAUACCUGAAAAUGCGCUUCACACAAUACAGAUGAGUAGUACGUGGAGCAUGCAUAAAUUGUGAAACAAUGUUAAAAGCAUAGGCAAUAUCUGGGCGAGUCAUAGUUAAGUAUUGAAGAGCGCCAACCAUACUCCUAUAUUCACUAGGAUCCGAAAGUAACUCACCAUCCACAAUAGAAAGAGAAGUGCGAGAAGCAAUAGGGGUGCGAACCGGUUUGCAUGUAUGCAUGUGAAAAUUAAGAAGCAAAUCAGAAAUAUACUUCUGUUGUGACAGAUGAGGACCCUUAGAAGAAUGAACUGCCUGAACACCAAGAAAGUAAUGAAAAUCACCUAAGUCUUUCGUGGCAAAUUGUCUAGAGAGACGACUAAUGAAGUGAUCAAGAAGAGAAGAAUGAUUACCAGUAAGAAUAAUGUCAUCAACAUAAAAUAACAAAAUAAGAUACCAGAUGAUGAACGGUGAAACAACAUGGAUGUAUCUGAUUUGCUGCAAAUAAAAUCAUAAGCCAUGAGAAAUGAACUAAAGCGAUGAAACCAAGCACGUGGUGGCUGGUUCAAACCAUAGAAUGCUUUAGUUAGCUUACAAAUAUGGCGAGGAUAAUCAGGAUGAGUAAAACCUGGAGGUUGUUUCAUAAAGACUUCCUCAUUAAGAACACCAUGCAAAAAAGCAUUUUUAACAUCAAGUUGACGAAUACACCAAGAAAAAGAAACGGCAAGACAGAGAACAAUGUGAAUAGUGGUAGCACGAACAACAAGACUAAAUGUUUCAUGAUAAUCAAUGCGAGGUUGCUGAUGAAAUUCGUGUGCUACAAGUCAGGCCUUGUAUCGCUCAACUGACCCAUCCAAAUUAUAUUUAAUACGAUAAAUCCAUUUACAACCAACUAAGUUCAUGUGAGGUUGAAAAGGAACAAGUACCUAAGUAUUAUUUGCUAAAAGUGCAUUAAACUCAUCUGCCAUGGCCUGCUGCCACUUCGGACUUUUUACUGCUUGAGAAAAACAAGAGGGUUAAAUUUCUUGAAUAAUAGUGUUCAAAAAAAAUAUUUGUUUUGGUUUCGAAAUACCAGACUUGGAGCGAGUGUGCAUUGAGUGAGCAGGAGACAUAAAAAGCAGUGCUAGUUGGCAGUGAGGUAGGUGCAAAAGAAGUCGGUAGGAGAAGCAGUGAUGGACACGUGAUCCGUAGAGCUGGAUGUAGGGCACAGGGAAGAAAAACUGGAGGGAGGUGGAGAAGACGACAUAGAAGGGGACAUACUUGAAUUAGAUUGGGUAUCGGGCUGCAAAGGGGAUAAAGAAGCAGUAACUACAAGAAACUUAGAAGAGCCAUUGGAUGAAGGGACAGUAGAGGGACGAGAUAGUUUAGAAUAUGGAAAAACUAAUUCAUGAAAGACAACAUGGUGACUGACAUAAACACGAUCAGAUGUAGGAACUAGGAAACGAUAUCCUUUAUAAUUAGAAGCAUAACCUAGGAAAAUACAUUGGAUGGAACGUGGUUGAAGCUUAUGAGAAACUUGAGAAGAUAUAUUUGGAAAACAUUCACGACCAAAAAUUCGAAGAAAACUGUAGUCAGGGGGUGUAUGAAAAAGCUUUUCAAAUGGAGAAAGUCCUUUUAAAAUGGGAGUAGGCAAUCUAUUAAUAGUAUAAACAUCGGAAAAAGCAGCAUCAACCCAAAAUUGAGAUGGCAAAUGAGCAUCUGUAAGGAUGGUACGCACCAUUUCAAUUAUGUGGCGUUGUUUUCGUUCAGCCACCCCAUUUUGUUGAGUAGUAUCUGGGCAUGAUUUACGAAAAGAAAUACCCGAGUUAGAAAAGUGUGGAAGCAUAGCCUUAUUAUCAAAUUCACCACCUCCAUCACUUUGAAAGUUUUAAUUUUAGUGUUAAAAGUGUUCUCCGCGAGUUUUUGAAAUGCACAAAAGUGCUGAAAAACUUCUAAUUUUCUCAUCAUAGGAUAAAGCCAUGUAAAUCGAGAAAAAUCGUCAACAAAUAUAACAUAAUAUCGAAAACCCAAGUUUGAUAAAACAGGCGAUUGCCAAACAUCAGAAUGAAUAAUAUCUAAAGGAAAAGAACUAUGGUGAGCAACUAAAUUAAAGGACAAAUGUUGAGACUUUCCUAACUUGCACGAAACACAAUUAUUACUAGAGGAAUUUAGUAGCGUAAUAAGAUUAUGGUUCCUAAGACUUGACAAAACACGACUACCACUAUGACCUGAACGAUGAUGCCAGAUGUCUCCGGAUUGAUGUAGAGCAACAAAUGCUUGAGGAGGAGAAGUCACAGACGAGGACGACAAUGGAUAAACAUCACCUUUACUGGAAGCUUGAAGGAGAGGUUGCCCCGUUACCUUGUCCUUCACACAAACAGAAGAAUCAUCAAAGUCAACUUUAUAAUUAUUAUCCCUACAUAACUUUUUAACAGAAAUCAAAUUAUGGCAAAGUUGAGGAACAUGAAAUAUAGACUGUAAGUGUAAAGGACGAGAUGUAGAAGGCAACUGAGCAUAGCCAAUAUUUUUGAUGAAGUAAUGUACCAUUUUCUACCAAAACACGAUCAGAGCCAGUGUAAGGGUUCUUUUGUAUAAAAUUACCUUCAGAUGGAGUCAUAUGAGCAGACGAGGCAGUGUCAAAAUACCAAGUAGCAUCAUUUGUUUCACCAACAGACAUAGUAUCAAGAGACUUAGGAAGAUCAUUAGCAACGAAAGCAUGAUUGAAGCGAUUUUGACAUUGUAAGACAGUGUGACUAGGAUGCCCACAAAUUUGACAAGUAAUGGGUGAGGGUAAGGGACCUAAGAUCCCACUGGAUAGUGAGAAUAUACUGCCAUAUUGUGAAUUAUAAGGAGUGAGAGAAACACCACCAAUAUCUGACGGAGGCUGACCAGUAGGACCAUUGCGAGCAAGAUUAUUUGGAGUAGACUGUUGUGAGGGACCUCGACCAGAGAAACCAUGGCCCCUUCCACCACGACCUCGACCUCGAAAAGAUGAGGAUCUUCCCCAUCCAUGAUUACUUGAAAAGGGCGCUGCAUUGUUGGACAUGUUAGAAGAAUUUGAUUAAACAUUUUGGGUAGCAAAUGCAUGAUGAGAGAUGAUAGAAUCAGAUUCUUGAAACCGUUGCAACCGUUGUUCAUGCAAAAGGAGCUUAGAAUGCAAAUCUUCAAGUGAUACAUGUCCAGGGAAGUGAGUGAGGAUACCAACCAGCGUAUCGUAUUCUUUUCCUAAUCCAAGAAGGACAUGAUCGAUGAAAUCCUGGGAGGAAACUAGAGAAUUUAUGGCUGCAAGUGAAUCAACCAAUUGUUUUGCCUCUCUCAAAUAUUGAUCAAUUGACAUAGAUGCCGUCUUCUUCAAAGUAGUGAGUUGUCUCUUAAGUUAAAUUGCUUUAGCUUGGCUAGCAUCCAUAUAUCGACGGUGUAAGGAAAGCCAAAUAUCACGGGAAGAUGGUAAAAGAUGGACGUCGACAAGAACUUCAUGCGACAAGGUCGCAAAGAUCCAAGAACGGACGCUUUGAUCGAUUCGAACCCACGAGCGAUAGCUUGGAUUCGAUUGUUGCGAGCCAGUAGCGUCGCAAAGAAGCGGGGGUGGAGUAGGGAUAGAACCAUCGACAAAACCAAGAAAAUCAUGAGAUAUGAGAAGGGAAGUGAACUGAGUAUGCCAUGUGAGAUAAUCUUCAACAGAUUGUAACUUAAUUGUUACCAGGUUGGUAACAUUAGGCGCUGCAAGUGCAGUAACAGAGUGAAAAUUUAAGGUAGUAGUUAAGUCCAACGAACCAGCACAUGGAAAUAUAGGUGGCGUAGUAGCAGCAGUAGGACAUGGCAGCAAGCUAGGAGCAGAUAAAUCGCUUGGUACUGAUGAGGUCAUGGAAGAAAGGAAUGACAUAAGAGGAGAAAACGUUGAAGGGGGAGGUGAGAAAGCAACAGUAAGGCUUGAGGAUGGAAUAGUGUUGUCAGGAUUGGAUAUAGGGUUAGAAGUAUAGGGUGAAGAUGAUGCCAUAGUAAAGAAAAAUGGUGUGGGAAAGUACUGGAAUUGAGGAGAAGAUUUAGAAGAAAACAUGACUUCUUAGAAGAAGGAAUGAGAGAGGAUUUUGCUGGCUAAUCUGAUACCAUGAUAGAUUUCAUUAAAUGGCUCAGUAAUUAGAGAGCCACUAUUACUUGUAUUUAUAUGAUAUGGAUACAUAUAUUGGGAUAAGUAUAUUACCUACAAAGAUAAGUAUUAAGAGUCCAUCACAUAUAUGGGAUAACUACAAAUAUGAG